rnacentral:rRNA from 1 species
UACAGAGGUCCCGAGCGUUGUUCGGAUUCAUUGGGCGUAAAGGGUGCGUAGGCGGCGGGGCAAGUCUGAUGUGAAAUCCCGGGGCUCAACCCCGGAACUGCAUUGGAUACUGCCUUGCUCGAGUACUGGAGAGGGAACUGGAAUUACGGUGAUAGCAGUGAAAUGCGUAGAGAUCGAUAAGGAAGCCAGUGGCGAAGGCGAGUUCCUGGACAGUUACUGACGGCUGAGGCA